rnacentral:lncRNA from 1 species
GGUUAAUUAUAUUUUAUUAAUAAGCUGGGAUUUUUUCCAUGCAUAUUUACAUGUUUAGGUGGCAUAGUCCGCAUGUUGGGAGAAAUAAUUCAGUGGGACUAGCUAUUUAGAUAUAGAAAGCGCAUUACCCUUCUAAUAUUAUAACUAAUCAGGAGUUAAUAGCAAAAAAGCUGGAUUGUGCAUGUUCACUGUUUAGCAUUUUAUCAACAAGUGGAUCGGAAUUGACCAGAUGUCGAUCGACCAUCCGAAGUGGAACAUGCGGGCAGCAUGGCACGAGGGUCUUGUUGGUGGGUUGACAUUUUCCCAAUUGUCACUGUCAUUAUCCACUGAGAUUACCAGCUAGAGGAAUGUGCUUUGUUAGCAACCAGGGUCAACCGGUCAUGUGGCAGUAGUGUACUGUCUUAAUGCUAAUACACCUCAUACGUACACCGGUCAACCCCUUAUUUUCUUUAUAGAUAUCUCAACGUUCUUUCUGUGUUCUGAGUGGGGCUGUUACUACUUUUGCAUCAGCAUCUGAUCGAAAAGGUUCCGUGGAUAAUUGGAACCACGUAGGAGGAGUACUAGCAUCCUGUUGCUAGCUAAUUAAUCAAGCUUGGUGUUAACAAACUUACACAUGUGGAUCGUGACUAGUUAAAUACUCUGUGUUAGCGUGACACGUUGCCAUCAACCUACUUUAUAGUGCUCCUGCAUGCAGGUGUUGUGCUAGUAGAUUGCAGCUGGAUAACGUAGUUAUGCCACCAUGUGUUUGGCUGAUGGCUGCACUAACAUGUUACUGUUGUCGGCGAACGAAACAAACCAUUACUUAAUUAGCUCACGGGUCACGGCCGGUUUUAAUUAUUAAUUUGGGCAAUGCUGAUCUUAAACAUUGCGAUGACUAACGAACUGUUGGUUUCUCCUGUGCAUGCAUUGUGCUGAACCCAAAAGAGCGAGAAGGAAACUUUACUUUUCAAAGUGAGAAUAUUAAUUGGCAGAAACACUCGCAUCUAACUGGGACACGUUUUGUGCAUUAUUUACUGGGUUUUAGGAGUAGUGUGAUACGUACGACUCAUUAGUUUCCUGCAAAUUUAGUUACACAAAUACACCCUGUCCAGUCUUUUUGCUCUCUGUAUAAGAUUUCUGUCACGUCAAACCUUAUAAACAUUAACCAAAUUUAUAUUAAAACAUAUCGAUACCUAUAAUACCAAAUAUAUCCUCUCCGUUACUAAAUAUAAUCGCUUUUAGAAAUUUUAAUAUGAACCAUAUAUGAAG